ACUCAAAUGAAUUGACGGGGGCCCGCACAAGCAGCGGAGCGUGUGGUUUAAUUCGUCGGUACGCGAAGAACCUUACCAGGGCUUGACAUGCGGCGGAAAGCGGCGGAAACGUCGUCCUCCUGAAAGGGACCGUCGUGCAGGUGUUGCAUGGCUGUCGUCAGCUCGUGUCGUGAGAUGUUGGGUUAAGUCCCGCAACGAGCGCAACCCCCAUGGCAUGUUGUACCACUCAUGCCAGACUGCCGAGAGAAACUCGGAGGAAGGUGGGGAUGAUGUCAAGUCAGCAUGGCCCUUACGCCCUGGGCUACACACACGCUACAAUGGCCGGUACAACGGGUUGCCAAGCCGCGAGGCGGAGCCAAUCCCAUAAAGCCGGUCUCAGUUCGGAUUGCAGGCUGCAACUCGCCUGCAUGAAGCUGGAGUUGCUAGUAACCGCAGGUCAGCACACUGCGGUGAAUAUGUUCCCGGGCCUUGCACACACCGCCCGU
rnacentral:rRNA from 1 species